GUGCCAGCCGCCGCGGUAAUACGAAGGGGGCUAGCGUUGUUCGGAAUAACUGGGCGUAAAGCGCACGUAGGCGGAUUGCUAAGUCAGGGGUGAAAUCCCGGGGCUCAACCCCGGAACUGCCUUUGAUACUGGCAAUCUCGAGUCCGAGAGAGGUGAGUGGAAUUCCGAGUGUAGAGGUGAAAUUCGUAGAUAUUCGGAGGAACACCAGUGGCGAAGGCGGCUCACUGGCUCGGUACUGACGCUGAGGUGCGAAAGCGUGGGGAGCAAACAGGAUUAGAAACCCGCGUAGUCC
rnacentral:rRNA from 1 species